rnacentral:lncRNA from 1 species
CGGAGCAUCAGCAAAAUAGGGAGAUCCAUCUCAUAGACCGUCAAAGUUUUGAGAACUAGUAUACACUACACAGAAAAUAACAAGGUGUCAAGUGUAAACUUAAUAUACAACAGUUUCUUUGACCAUCAGAAUGCAUCCUGCUGAAAAUGUAAAGCUGACCAGACGCAUCCAUAUACGCAAACUGACGAGGCUGGCAAAUUCUUACUUGGAUUUAGGGCUUAAUUUGCACAUGUUCCUCCAUUUAUCCUUGAGGUCUAUUGUUGUUCGGCCAUUCGAAAAUACAGAACUACCAUACUCCAAAAUGUCCUUCCAGGGAUAUUUUCCGUCACUUGCAAAUUUCUGCACUCCCUCCUUUAACAGUAAAAGAGCAAGAAAUUAGAGCCUGAUAGAUCACAAUGAAGAGCUAAAAGCCAAAACUAUAUGAUAUUAGCUUGUGGAAGAAAACAGAUUUAGAAUGCACAACCAAGAAAAUCUCUCUUAAAUAUGUAUAAAUGUAUUUACCGGUGAGCAUACAAUUGAAAUAAAUAUUGGUGUCAGAAGCAUAUACGCAGUAAACAAAUACCUUGAGUAUCUCCUCCUCAUGGACUGUCCACGGAACCUUUUUUCGCCUCGACUGAGGCAUUGCAGGCAUUGCAGGCAUUGGAGGGGGACUGCAGAUCAGAAUAACAUUUUGGUCAACUACAAUUGCCACUGCAAUCAAAUGUCAAAUUAAUAAGGAUGGGGUUUAACAAGGGAGCAAAGUGAUUUACCCAAAUUCACACACACGACAAAAGAAUAAUAAUAGAAGUUGACAUAGCAUAGUCAGAUUUUUUGAAGGUAGUAUACUAUAAAAGGAAAAACUGUUUUAAUUCUGGAAAUGGCAUUCAGAGGUGUACUAUAACCACCUGCAUAACACUUUGAAUAACUGGAAACUUACUAUUGUCUCUCUCUCUUUCGGAAUCUUAUGAAGUAAUUAGUACUUAUUGACUUGUCAUCUUCGUCACCAGAGGUUUCUCCUCCAUCGCUGCUGAUGGCACAAACAGCUUUCUGUCUUCGACCAUCUGUUCUCUGGCUUCCAGAGACAAUCUCUUUUUCUUUACACAAAUGAUUAUCAACACUGUAUUUAGGAUCAACACUAACUUGGCGUUGAUUUAUGUCAAGUUCGGUUCCAGAUGAGUUCUCUUGAACCACCUCCUCCCCUUCCUUUUCUACAGUAGAUAUAUGAUUAGAACUAACAUUUACAUCAGGCUCUUCUUCUCUACACAGCGAGUUAACACCAAUGCAUGAUGCCAAAGGCUCUACUUGCUUCUUCUUCCUUUUUCCGUGGUCAUUACCUUCCGAUAUCUGACCUUGAUUAUUUGAUUGUUUGCGUUUUUCUCCAACCAAAUUCUCAUAAUCAAGAAAUUUAUUAAGUAGAUCCUUAUCUUCAUUCUGUCUUGAGCUGCCAUGUCUUUUGCUAAGUAGUCUUUGAGCAUGUUUGUUUGACCGAUACUCCUGUCUCGUUUCAAUAAAUAACUUCAGUUCCUUCCUCGCUGAAUAGGCUUUUUUCUUAGCUUUAAGGUACUCUGAAAUAGCAAGAGAAUAUGCACAGAAAGGACAGUAAAAGUCUCCCCUCUCAUCAAAAUGUGGUGAGAAAACUAAACAGUUCUCAUGAAUCACCAAUGAGCAACUACCAGCACCACAAACCAACAACUGACCAUCUUUAUGGCAUUUUAUGCAAAGAUUUUGAUCUGUCCAGUUAGCUUCUGCCAGAGAAUCAUGACUUAACAUGUAUUGAGAACUCAGAAAAUGACUCUUCUUCAAACCAACAUCAACCCUCUCAUGCUCAUACUCGUCACUCUCAUUUGACUCGUCUUCUUCAGAUAGAUGGUCUUCGUCAGCUUCUCUUUCAUCAGCACCAGUAUUCCUGUGAAAUCCAUUUGGGGAUACACUAUUUGAUGGUUUUCGUUGACCACUAUGAUCAGAGUUGACAUAAGCACUAAGAAUGUUGCUGGAGUAGGAACAUCACAUUAAACAUCACAUUCGUUGACCACUAUGAUCAGAGUUGACAUAAGCACUAAGAAUGGUUUUCCUGCGAAGAGUAGGAACUUGGAAGGAAGAAGUUGACAUAAGCACUAAGAAUGUUGCUGGAGCUUAUCCAUCACAUUAAACAGACUCGUGAAAAAAAAAAAGUUACAAGCCCAUUGAUGAAAAAUGGAGUUAUACUUUGAAGUUUGAACAAACUAGUUGCAAGAAACAAUGGAGUUAUACUUCUCUGGUAUUUCUUUAUGCAUUCUCAUUUAACACCAGCAUGUCACACGAGAAAUUAUUUCACAAAAUAUAAAUCAAAUUCACAGCAUAAAAUGGUAUUUUGUAUUGAAUUCCACGGCUUAAGUGGAAGGUUUUUCAUCAAAGUGAUGAGAUUUUUCCCUUCUUUUACCACAGCUGAUGAAGAUUUUUCAUUAAAACCCAACUUGCAUAGCAAUCGCUCUCUGACUUCCUUUGCCUUGGAUUCUAUGAAUUGAAUCUUUACUUGAGGAAACUCACCUCAACAUUUUUCAUUUUCACGAGCCCUAUUUCACAUGUUGUCCUGCCAUUGACGACCUGAUUCCCGAGACUCUCAUCUUUAUCCCAUGCCAAUGCUCUCUCCACCCUUCCUUUCUCUCUCCCUGGGUUAAUUGCUUGAGCAUAUUGCAAGGCCUGCAAAUUACCAAGACAUGUCACGUGUGUAAUAGUUGGUAGAUUGUGCUCAUCACCUUGCUCCCCUAACUGUGAUGAGCGAACGUUUGAAUGAUAGUUACAAUGAUUUAGUAAUGAUCGAGCAAAUUUAAUUAUGUGUUUUUUGAUUGAGGAGCUCUCAUUAACAAGGUCAGAUCUGCUAGCUGUCAGUGGUUAGGGACCAGGUUAGUGAUAACCUGAGGAAUUUGUUCGUGGGACAUGAAUCUGAUUUAAACGUACGAUGUUCAACUCUAGCAAAUUGUAUACUACGUUGAUUUGAAACAGAGAUGACUAUUGAUGAGUUUUUUAUUUAUUUUUAAAAGAUGUUUAUAAAUAAAAUUCAUUUUAAAUAACAAUAAAUUUUGCGAAUGUGACAUACCUGAAAUAUUUGGGCUUAAGAGUUAAUGAAGUUUAAAAUAACAUGCCUCUAGCAAAUUUAUCAAAUCUAAAGAAUUUGAGCUUGGUAGUCAACUAAACCCAAGAUAAUACGGGUCUAACAUGUUUAGUGAUGUCUAAGAUCUAAGGCUAUAAUAUGCUUGAUUGUGGACGAUUCUUUACAAUAAAAAUAUAAAAAACACAUGAUAAAAUAUGAUGUUUAUACUCAUAGAUAUAUACAAGGUCACUUAAUACACCUACCAUACUUAUUAUAUCAUUAAUAAUAUAUAAGGGAUAUUUAUUUUCCAUUAAUAUCGCUGAAAGCAUAGCACUUUUCAAUCCUUCCCUUAUCUGAAAAUGUCAAAGUUCAUAUCUUGGUAAAAGAUCAGAACUUUUCAUCUUUUAAGAUAAAAAUAUAUAAUUUAAUAUAAAAAUAUAUUGGGUUAACCGCUUAUAUGCAAGAGAUGUGAGAAUAAUCUUUAAAAAAUAAAUUGAAAAGCUAAAUGUUUAAUUAGUUUAAUAUUAAAGGAUAAAAGUUGUAAAAAAUAGCACUUAUCCAAAAAAAUAAUAAUCAAUUAAACUUAAGUUAACCAAACAAACUCAUGAUACAAGUUAAAUAAAUUUUUUAUAUUAAAAAUUAUUUUUUAUUUAAUUACUGAUGAUAAAAACACAUGAGAGUUUUUUUUUCAAGGAACAUUUUUUUAAGGAAAGAAAUCGUGUUAGACCGUACUUAAAGCAUAACAGACAUGGAGAUAUGAGAAAUCGAAUUGACUUGUAAAUAUAAAAUAAAUAAAUAAAUACUGGAGUAAAAGACGAAAGGUAUGUUUUUGGAGCCUCAUUUCAUGGAGGUUCUGUCAAGUGAUCCAAAGCUAUAAUCAAAACUCGUCUAGGCGGUGCCAUCAUGACCUGACAGCACGGGCACAAAAUGAACCUCCUACGACCAUUUUCUUGUUCUUUAUUUUUUCUUUCCUCCUUAAUAUUUUGCUCCUGCCCUUCAAUUUUUUAAAUUAGCUUAUCGAAUUCUUUUUUUAUUGAUUCUUUAUUUUUUUAAUUAUUAUUUAUUUUAUUUAAAAUAAUUUAUGAAUUUUUUUUUUAAUUUCAUUCUCAUUUAUCAAAUUUAAUCACCAUUAUUAUAAUUACAAUUUAUAUAAUCUAAGAUAAUUUUUAAAAUUAAUUUUUUUAUGAUUCCAUUGUUCUUUUUUUUUUCUAUCAAGAUUUUUUUUCAUUCUUUAGAUUAUUUUUUUUACUUUGUAAAAGCUUUUUAGAUUUACUUUUUUCAUGAUGUCAUCAUUUUAACAUUAAAUUGAUUUAGAUUUGAUUUUCUUGAUUAAGUAUAUGUAUAGGAUUUCACAGGUUAUAAGUAUGAGAAAUUAACCUAAUUUUAAAAGAUUCAUUCGGGUUUGCUUGGGUGUUUUUUAUCAUUUUUUUAAACUAAUAUUUUUUUUUCAAUUUCAUCCUUCAACAUUUAUUUAAUUGGAGAUUACACUCCUUUUUUUCAUAUGCUUUUUACAUCCUUUGUUUUAUUUUUUUUUUAAUUAAUUGGAUUAUCUCAGGUCUUUUUAUUUGUUGUUUUUUAUCAAAUUUAUUUUUAAAAAAUAAAUCUUAUUCUUAAAUUAAAUAGAACUGAUUCAUUGAAUAUAGGCAUGAAAAACUCACUUCGUUAUGUUUUGUUCAUUUUUAUUUUCUAGGUCAUUGCUCUAGUGACCUAUGAAACUUCUUACAGUGUUGUCGUGCAACCUUUUGUAGUGACGUAUGAACAGUCUUUGUGAAUUUUUUUGGUGGUGAGUGAUGUUCAUAGUGGAGUGAUAAUGAGUCUUCAACAAUUUUUUUUUCUUUUUUCAAAUAUGAUAUUGACAAAUCAUUAUUUUUAAUUAGUUAUUUCUGAAUGAUUUCUUAUAGUUCAUCUGUUGUUGUUGUCUACUUAAAUCAAAUUAUUAGAUUACAAAAUCUUAUUAAAUUCAGUCAAGUUAAUAGUCUGAGUAAAGAGUUUUUCUUACUUCCUUUAAAACAUCACCGUCUCUUGAGCAUUCUUUUUUACAUUAAAAUAAUUUGGAUUAGCCUGAGACAUAACACGAGCCAUUAAUCUACUAUAUAUUAUAAAUAAAAGAACAAGGUCUUACCUGUAAACUUGAUAUAAAAGGGAGGGGAUUUUAUUAUACCCCUCUUAAAAAAUACUAUUUAUCUUUUGGUUUGAUUCAUACUGGAUAACUCAAGUCUCUUCUUUUAAUAUAUAUAACAUCAUCAUCAUUCAAUGCUAGGUUGAUUGAAAAUUAGACUUCAUAUUUAUUUAUUUUUGCUUUUUAAGAAGUUACUUUCAUCCCAUAACUUAGGUUACAAGUUUGACAAGUUAACUUAAAUUAUUUUUUAUAUCCCCUUUUUAAUUAAUUUUUCAAUUUCAAUCACAUCCUUCAACAUUAUAUUUAUUAGAAAUUGAGUUUUAUAAUUUGUUUCAAUUCAUUUUCUAUUAAGUUACCCCGAUCUCAUAACCUAAAUCGAAAUUUUAACAAGUUAACCCAAGUUAUCAAGUUAUUUUUUUUAUUCAAUUUUUAAUUGAUUUUUUUAAAAAAAUUCAUCAUUCAAAUUUAAUUCAUUAAAACUUGAGAUUCAUAAAUUUUUUUAUUAAAUUAUCACAAUCUCAUAACCUCAUAUUCAGAUUAACAGAUUAACCAAAUUUGACCAAAAUCAAUCUAAUAUAUUAUCAUUUCAAUAUUUAUAAAAAAUAUCAUCAUAAAUAUUUAUUUUAAAUUAAAUUAUAUUUUUACCGAUGAUUUGGAUUUCUUUAAACUCAUUAAAUCCACCAGUUCAUUUCAGAUUAUCUUUCCCACUAGAAAAUACAUUGGCAACAAGAAGAUAUUUUUUUCAUGUAAAAAAAAUCUGAACUGCAGGAUAGCAAGUGUCAACGAUACAGUAACAAGAGAAAAUCGGAGCAUCAGCAAAAUAGGGAGAUCCAUCUCAUAGACCGUCAAAGUUUUGAGAACUAGUAUACACUACACAGAAAAUAACAAGGUGUCAAGUGUAAACUUAAUAUACAACAGUUUCUUUGACCAUCAGAAUGCAUCCUGCUGAAAAUGUAAAGCUGACCAGACCCAAAUAUAAGAACACAUCCAUAUACGCAAACUGACGAGGCUGGCAAAUUCUUACUUGG